UCAGUGUGUGCGCUGCUUGUGCUGGGCACUGAUGUGGUCGCCCCUGAUCGGAAGGGACGCCGCUGGAGCUGCCGCGGGAUAUGGUGGUGGUCCGCUGAUGGAGCUGGGAGCAGACGCGGAGGCAAUGGGCCCGACUCUCUGUGUGCAAAUCAUGAUGACUUGGAGCACUGUCAUGGGAAGUUUUUAUUCAUCUUUACCUAUAUUUAUUGGAUUAGGUUCCAUUGGCAGGUGAGAUUCUUAUCCUGAAUGCUUUAUUCUAUUUUUGCCAAGACACUUCUCCUUAAUAUGUUCAAUAUUCAUAAUAAAUUUUUUGCGGUAGAAUUACAUGAUUUCUAAACAUUUUGAUUCAUAAUACAAAUUUGCUGCAUCAUGGGGUUUAUUAGAAAUCCUAAUGCAUUUCUAAUCAGGAUUGUUUCUUAUGGUGAUUAAAUCUGUCAUAGCGUCAACAGGUUAAAGACGAUGUACCCUUUUCCCGUUUGGAUACCAACCAUUGCAUUCAACAGUAAGAUCUGUUGCUUAUUUACUUGUAGAAUCAAGUGGGUUAGAGGCAUCUGCUUUUAACUAUUUACGACACUUCAAUAAAACACUCUUUUCUUAUUUGUGUGAGUACUAU
rnacentral:lncRNA from 1 species